UCCGGCAUGGUGUAGUGGCUAGCAUUUCCGCCUCUCAUGAGAGCAUUCGAUUCAUCGAAUGUUCAGCAAGGUCGCGGGAGACCGGGGUUCAAUUCCCCGUACCGGAA